rnacentral:rRNA from 1 species
UACGGAGGGUGCGAGCGUUGUCCGGAAUCACUGGGCGUAAAGGGUGCGUAGGCGGGUCUUUAAGUCAGGGGUAAAAUCCUGGAGCUCAACUCCAGAACUGCCUUUGAUACUGAGGAUCUUGAGUUCGGGAGAGGUGAGUGGAACUGCGAGUGUAGAGGUGAAAUUCGUAGAUAUUCGCAAGAACACCAGUGGCGAAGGCGGCUCACUGGCCCGAUACUGACGCUGAGGCACGAAAGCGUGGGGAGCAAACAGG